rnacentral:ncRNA from 19 species
UAAUAAUUACCACAUAAGGAAAGCAGGGUGAAAAUCCCACACUGGUCCGCAGCCGUUAAAGUCGGAAUGCUUGUAUGGUAUGUAUUACUUCGAGACAAGGAGAUUUUUAUGGGAUUUUCUC